rnacentral:rRNA from 1 species
GAUGAACGCUGGCGGCGUGCCUAAUACAUGCAAGUCGAGCGAACGGACGAGAAGCUUGCUUCUCUGAUGUUAGCGGCGGACGGGUGAGUAACACGUGGAUAACCUACCUAUAAGACUGGGAUAACUUCGGGAAACCGGAGCUAAUACCGGAUAAUAUUUUGAACCGCAUGGUUCAAAAGUGAAAGACGGUCUUGCUGUCACUUAUAGAUGGAUCCGCGCUGCAUUAGCUAGUUGGUAAGGUAACGGCUUACCAAGGCAACGAUGCAUAGCCGACCUGAGAGGGUGAUCGGCCACACUGGAACUGAGACACGGUCACGACUCCUACGGGAGGCAGCAGUAGGGAAUCUUCCGCAAUGGGCGAAAGCCUGACGGAGCAACGCCGCGUGAGUGAUGAAGGUCUUCGGAUCGUAAAACUCUGUUAUUAGGGAAGAACAUAUGUGUAAGUAACUGUGCACAUCUUGACGGUACCUAAUCAGAAAGCCACGGCUAACUACGUG